CAUGUGGUUUAAUUCGAUGCAACGCGAAGAACCUUACCUACUCUUGACAUCCAGAGAAUCUAGCGGAGACGCUGGAGUGCCUUCGGGAGCUCUGAGACAGGUGCUGCAUGGCUGUCGUCAGCUCGUGUUGUGAAAUGUUGGGUUAAGUCCCGCAACGAGCGCAACCCUUAUCCUUGUUUGCCAGCACGUAAUGGUGGGAACUCCA
rnacentral:rRNA from 1 species